AUUGAACGCUGGCGGCAGGCCUAACACAUGCAAGUCGAACGGUAACAGGAAGAAGCUUGCUUCUUUGCUGACGAGUGGCGGACGGGUGAGUAAUGUCUGGGAAACUGCCUGAUGGAGGGGGAUAACUACUGGAAACGGUAGCUAAUACCGCAUAACGUCGCAAGACCAAAGAGGGGGACCUUCGGGCCGCUUGCCAUCGAAUGUUCCCAGAUGGGAUUAGCUAGUAGGUGGGGUAACGGCUCACCUAGGCGACGAUCCCUAGCUGGUCUGAGAGGAUGACCAGCCACACUGGAACUGAGACACGGUCCAGACUCCUACGGGAGGCAGCAGUGGGGAAUAUUGCACAAUGGGCGAAAGCCUGAUGCAGCAAUGCCGCGUGUAUGAAGAAGGCCUUCGGGUUGUAAAGUACUUUCAGCGGGGAGGAAGGGAGUAAAGUUAAUACCUUUGCUCAUUGACGUUACCCGCAGAAGAAGCAACGGCUAACUCCGUG
rnacentral:rRNA from 1 species